CUAAUACGCCGUUCAAUCUCUUUACCGAUUCUUCCCUGCCUUCGAUGCACAACAUCUAGAAGGCAAACCCUAGAGGUUAUCCACAACUGUGAUCCACAUAAUUGUCCAGUUCACCACAUAAUCGUUGCCAUCUACAUGGAAAUCGAUGCACGCAUCAAAAACCCUAAAAGCUCCCACUUUCUUCUUCAAUCGCCUGACAAAGGAUUCUAAAAUCCAACCGAUUCACUUCCAGAGGAAGAUGUUGACGGUGGUGGUCACCUGAAGAGGGAAGAUGACAACGACAUGGGUUGAUUUAGGGUUUCUCCAUUGGUGGUCUUGUGAUGGUUGUGGUUCUAGGAAAUGGCGAAAGGGCGGCGGCUAGGGUUCCACUAACACAUCAAUCUGACCGAUUUUGGUUUCGGCAGGUAUGUUCAAACAGUUGGUUGGUAUUUCAGAUUCAUGAUAUUUUUCAGUCCAGUACUAAAUGCUUUGAGGAAUUUCAAUGCUAAGUAGAUUGGCAAAAUGGGUGAAUUUUUGUGUCUGUCAAAACGGGUCAGGUUAUAUUAAGAUGUGGAGUGAAAGUCGAGCUUGCCGACGUAGACGAACCAAGCAGUUGCGAAUGCCAUUAGUGCUACCAUGGUCAAAGAAGGGACUUAAGAUUGGCAAAGACAGCAACAGGACCAGAGAAGGAAUUCUACUCGCGAUAUGGUCAAUGUUUUGAAAGCAAACAGAACAAGUUACAACCUUUGCAACUUUUUGUUUACCUUUUUUUCCAUAUUGAGCUAUAAAAUUUCUUUAUCUAUUUUCUCUAAGUUUGAAUUGUUCCUGUUUUUUGAUUGAUUUCAUUCCAGAUAUGUUUACAUGGUUUGACCUUUUAAACAAUGCAGGAAGGGUACAACACAAUGCGGUUGGGGUUAGUCAAAACACGCUGGGGUUGAAACGGGCUAUAUUUUUUAGUACGGGUGGAUGCAGGCCGGACUGGAUUGUGCUGGCCCAUUUACAAUUGUUUAUAAGUUAAUAUAUAUAUACCUGAAUAUUCUAUCUUAUGAAUAUUAAUCUCCAUGCACUAAAUGUCAUAAGGUGAUCGGAACGAGAUAAAAUGACCCAUGUAACCGGACUUUAAUUUACAAAUAAUAGUUUUGUUAUCUUUUUUUAAAAAAGAAGUGAUGGGUUGCUUUGGGUUAACAUAAUACUUAAGUGGGUUGAAAUGGGUAUUAUAUAAAUAAAAGAUUAACGGAAUGAUGAAUAAAAUUACACGGUGGGUACUCUAAAAAACAAACGGGUUUCCAAAGUUAGAUUCAAUUUGAUUAUCAAAACUCAUAACUUAAAGAAGUUCGAAUUCAAAUCAUCUCAUCUGAAGAUUUGUACUGCGUAAUUUGAGGUAAAUAUCAAUUAUUUGUCGUGAAAUCACUGAUUUUUGGGUUAGUUUGUCAGGGAAUUGAUGAUUUUAUGGUUAAUUUGUCGUGAAAUCAAGUUAACUUUCAAUUGAUCGUAGGGUAAUGUUUGAUGUUUGUUAGUGAACAGGAAUUUACCAGGUGUAUGUAUUCCCGUGGGGAGUUUUCAGUCGCUUCUUGUCGGGAUUUUCUUGGGAAACAUGUGAUUUCAUUCUACCCAUACGAGUGGGUUAAACGGGUUCCAAAAAUAUUAAUUUAUUUGCGUGGAGAGCCGAACAAGACCGUCUUUCUACACUCAACGGGCUGUGCAGAAAAGGAAUAUGCUUAGAGGUCCGAUUUCAUAUCGACUAUGCGGGGAGGUGGAUGAAGAUGAUGACCAUCGAAUUUAUGGAGACAUACAGGCAAGUGUUAGUGAAAUCUAAGUCCGAUCUGGCAAGGCCUUUUGAUGAAGCUGCUGUUUUUUCUCAAGAAUAUUGAAACAUAGCUUAGUUUUAUAAGUAAAGGUACAGGGAAGCUAUGAAUGGUCCAGGUUGUGAAGCUAUCCACAUGACUAAAAUUGAUGCGAAUAUCGAUUGUUAUAUUUUCAUAGCUCGUGUUGAUCUAUCUGUAUUCCAUCCUUGGUGCUCAUCUUUACCAGUUACAGAGAAUGAUAUAAGUCAUCAUUUUAUGUCCAAUGUUCGUGUUUGCAGUUCUUCAGAUUCAAAUAAAUUAAAGCUCGAGAAUUUUGCUUUCUUGCCAAAGAUUAUUUUUGAAAAAUAUGAAGAGUUCAUGUAUCCUCACCAAAGAGAUUGAAGUGACAAAUAGCUUGUAGAACAAACCACUUAUGUAAGGUAAUUGUUGUAUCAUUUAGCAAGAAUGACAAUCUUGAUUUGUUAAUUAUUAUACUAAAUUU